rnacentral:rRNA from 1 species
UAGAGUUUGAUCCUGGCUCAGAUUGAACGCUGGCGGCAUGCCUUACACAUGCAAGUCGAACGGCAGCGCGGGGCAACGUGGCGGCGAGUGGCGAACGGGUGAGUAAUAUAUCGGAACAUACCCUAGAGUGGGGGAUAACGUAGCGAAAGUUACGCUAAUACCGCAUACGCACUAAGGUGGAAAGUGGGGGAUUCGCAAGAACCUCAUGCUCAUGGAGUGGCCGAUAUCUGAUUAGCUAGUUGGUGAGGUAAAGGCUCACCAAGGCGACGAUCAGUAGCUGGUUUGAGAGAACGACCAGCCACACUGGAACUGAGACACGGUCCAGACUCCUACGGGAGGCAGCAGUGGGGAAUUUUGGACAAUGGGGGCAACCCUGAUCCAGCAAUGCCGCGUGAGUGAAGAAGGCCUUCGGGUUGUAAAGCUCUUUUGUCAGGGAAGAAACGGUGAGUUCUAAUAAAGCUCGCUAAUGACGGUACCUGAAGAAUAAGCACCGGCUAACUACGUGCCAGCAGCCGCGGUAAUA